UGAGGUCCAGAACAGUGAACCAUUCUGC
rnacentral:piRNA from 1 species